AACGAACGCUGGCGGCAUGCCUAACACAUGCAAGUCGAACGAGACCUUCGGGUCUAGUGGCGCACGGGUGCGUAACGCGUGGGAACCUGCCCUUAGGUUCGGAAUAACUCCCCGAAAGGGGUGCUAAUACCGGAUAAUGUCUUCGGACCAAAGAUUUAUCGCCUUUGGAUGGGCCCGCGUUGGAUUAGCUGGUUGGUAGGGUAAAAGCCUACCAAGGCGACGAUCCAUAGCUGGUCUGAGAGGAUGAUCAGCCACACUGGGACUGAGACACGGCCCAGACUCCUACGGGAGGCAGCAGUGGGGAAUAUUGGACAAUGGGCGAAAGCCUGAUCCAGCAAUGCCGCGUGAGUGAUGAAGGCCUUAGGGUUGUAAAGCUCUUUUACCCGGGAUGAUAAUGACAGUACCGGGAGAAUAAGCCCCGGCUAACUCCGUG
rnacentral:rRNA from 1 species